GGGCCUAUAGUUCAGUCGUAGAGCAUUUGACUGUAGAUCAAGAGGUCUCUGGUUCGAACCCGAUUGGGAUUU
rnacentral:tRNA from 1 species